AAUGAACGCUGGCGGCGUGCCUAACACAUGCAAGUCGAACGGAGAAGUAGGAGCUUGCUCCUGCUUUUAAGUGGCAGACGGGUGAGUAACGCGUGGGCAACCUACCUUGCAGUGGGGAAUACCCAGCCGAAAGGCUGGUUAAUACCGCAUGAAAUCCGAGAGACCUUGGUGUUUCGGAUCAAAGUUGGGGACCUUGGAAACAAGACCUGAUACUGUAAGAGGGGUUCGCGUCAGAUUAGCUAGUUGGUGAGGUAAUGGCUCACCAAGGCAUCGAUCUGUAGCCGGCCUGAGAGGGUGAUCGGCCACACUGGAACUGAGACACGGUCCAGACUCCUACGGGAGGCAGCAGUGGGGAAUUUUGCGCAAUGGGGGAAACCCUGACGCAGCAACGCCGCGUGGGUGAAGAAGCAUCUUGGUGUGUAAAGCCCUGUCGACGGGGACUAAGGUAUAGGUCUGAAUAAGGCUGAAUACUUGAAGGUACCCGUAGAGGAAGCCCCGGCUAACUCCGUGCCAGCAGCCGCGGUAAUACGGAGGGGGCAAGCGUUAUCCGGAAUUACUGGGCGUAAAGGGCGCGCAGGCGGUUUGGUUAGUGAGAAGUGAAAGCCCUGGGCUUAACCCAGGAACGGCUUCUCAUACUG
rnacentral:rRNA from 1 species